CCUACGGGAGGCAGCAGUGGGGAAUAUUGGGCAAUGGGCGCAAGCCUGACCCAGCAACGCCGCGUGAAGGAAGAAGGCUUUCGGGUUGUAAACUUCGUUUAUGAGGGACGAAACAAAUGACGGUACCUCAUGAAUAAGCCACGGCUAACUACGUGCCAGCAGCCGCGGUAAUACGUAGGUGGCAAGCGUUAUCCGGAUUUACUGGGUGUAAAGGGCGUGUAGGCGGGACUGCAAGUCAGAUGUGAAAAUUAUGGGCUCAACCCAUAACCUGCAUUUGAAACUGUAGUUCUUGAGUGAUGGAGAGG
rnacentral:rRNA from 1 species